rnacentral:rRNA from 1 species
CCGGAUAACAUAUCGAACCGCAUGGUUCGAUAGUGAAAGACGGUCUUGCUGUCACUUAUAGAUGGACCCGCGCCGUAUUAGCUAGUUGGUGAGGUAACGGCUCACCAAGGCAACGAUACGUAGCCGACCUGAGAGGGUGAUCGGCCACACUGGAACUGAGACACGGUCCAGACUCCUACGGGAGGCAGCAGUAGGGAAUCUUCCGCAAUGGGCGAAAGCCUGA